GCUCCCUUGAGCAUCCCUAUGUUUGGCCCUUCCAGUUUUGGCUAGAAACAGAUAAGGCAGCAUAUUUAUUAAGGCACUAUUUUUUCAAUAACUUACAUGAUCGAUUGAGUACUCGGCUUUUUCUGAGUCUCGUUGAAAAGAAAUGGUUGGCGUUUCAGUUGCUUCUUGCAGCGAAGCAGUGUCACGAGAAGGGGAUAUGCCAUGGUGAUACUAAGUGUGAGAAUGUGUUGGUUACCUCAAGGAAUUGGGUUUAUCUUGCUGAUUUGCCUCAUUCAAGCCUAC